UCUGUUUUUCUCCUCCCCCAUCUGGUCUGAAAAGACAUAAUAGGACCGAUCCCUAUGGAUGAGGCAUACCCUUUGACGAGAGUUGUGACGUGAAUUAUCUAUUAGGGGUCACUUUUGGCUAAGUAUCAUGUGGUUAUAAACUAUCUGAUAGGACCACUGUGGUUUGCAUGGCUGUGGUCAUAGAUCAUGUCAUGGUUUUGCAAGCUGUAAAUGUGUUGUGGCACACUGCUGUUAUAUAUCUGAUCUGGUCAUUCCACAUGGGUAGUUAAAAAUUCAUAUCUACCGAAGCAUGACAUGAAAAUUUGAGCAUAUCAUGAUUAAUUUAAUUUUCUUUCUUAUCAGCAUGAUUGAAUUAAUUGUUAUGACUAUAACAUGAUGGAUCUAAUGUAAAGUAAGAAAUGUCUCUGACAUAACCCCUGAUGGUGAGUGUUAAUGACAUAAUUAUUCACUUUUAAAAUCUUAUGAUGUUAUUUAAAUAUUGUUUUCCUCAUUGAGUAUAUGGAAUUCAUCUCUUUCCAUACCCCCCAGAUGAGGAAGAUAAUGAGGAACUAAUCGCUGACCUACCCCUUGAAGUCUAUGAGUAUUCCGUAGAUCCAU
rnacentral:lncRNA from 1 species